ensembl:snRNA U6 U6 spliceosomal RNA
GUGCUCGCUUUAGCAGCACAUAUGCUAAAAUUGAAAUGAUACAGAGAAGAUUAGCAUGGCCCCUACUCAAGGAUGACAUGCACAAAAUAGUGACUAUCUACUGCCUU